AUAUUAGAAAAGUUAUAUGAAAAAUGAAAACAAUCUCCGUUUUCCUUUAUAAACUCUGGAGCCUCGCACAGGAUCACAGGAUCCCACCUGAAACUCUCUCUCUCUCUCUCCCUUCUCUCUCAGAGUGAAGGCUGUACAGAUUGGAGGCGCAGAUGGCAGGAGUAAUUAAGAAGUUCUUCAUUGCGUCAAUGUUGAUGUGGAUUGCACCCAUUGCAAUCUUAUAUGGUUUUAACCAUAAUUUGUUUCCUGGUUCAACCCAGUUGUCCUCCUAUUCUGCCACGCUGUUGAGCGGAUUCAUUGCUGUCAUAUCAGUCAAUAUAGUUAUCGCCUUCUACAUUUUUAUGGCAAUGAAGGAACCUUCAGACAAACAUGAACCAGAUCCUGCUUUUCUUGCUGCUGCCAAGGCCAGUGUAAGCCAAUCUACACCUGGUGAAACUGAGGAUCCUUCCCAAUCCCGUGAUAAACAAGAAUAGGAUGCAACCGAGCUGAUUAUGACAUUUCCACUUACGGAGAAGAACUGGAUUGAAAUGUGGGGAGAAACCAUGACAGAUUGGAUGAGCAUUGAGAUCAUACGCGCUGAUUUUGUAUUCAAAUAGUAUUGUUGUUUAGUUGUUCUUGUGCAUGAGAUUUGAUGUCAGUCGCACUAGUUUCUGAGACUGCUAUUGUUAAUGUACAUUCAUAUUACCUUUUGAUGGAAAUGCAACUUCUAUUUCACCUUAAA